rfam:Myotis davidii contig108759, whole genome shotgun sequence.
GGCCUCCCUCUUUGGGGCGAUCAAUCACAGGGCUCUGUGAUCGAUGGCCCCAAAGAGGGAGGCU